rnacentral:rRNA from 1 species
UACGUAGGGGGCAAGCGUUGUCCGGAAUCAUUGGGCGUAAAGCGCGUGUAGGCGGCUCGGUAAGUCUGCUGUGAAAGUCCAGGGCUCAACCCUGGAAUGCCGGUGGAAACUGUCGGGCUAGAGUCCGGAAGAGGCGAGUGGAAUUCCUGGUGUAGCGGUGAAAUGCGCAGAUAUCAGGAAGAACACCCGUGGCUGAGGCGGUUCUCUAGUACGGUACUGGCGCUGAGACGCGAAAGCGUGGGGAGCGAACAGG